AUCCCGAAUUUAGAAGAGCUACUUAUAUUGUUGUAAUAAACACUUAUAAUAAGAAAUGAAACGUUAAUAUAUCUGGUUUUUUAAGAAAAUUUAAUUUGUUGAUACCCUGAGGGAUGAGCUUUAGGUAGAAUUAGAAGUUUUGUUAUAUUCGUUCUAUUAAAAUUUGUAUAUUAAUUUUUUUGGUAAUAAUGAUUAUAUUAGUAAAAGAUUAGUUAAAGGAAUUCGGCAAGCAUCUUUCACCUGUUUAUUAAAAACAUGGCCUGUUGCUUAUAAUUUCAGGUCUCGCCUGCCCACUGAGGCCGCGGUAUAUUGACCGUGCAAAGGUAGCAUAAUAAUUAGUUUCUUAAUUGGAAGCUUGUAUGAACGGUAGAAUGAGAAGAUCACUGUCUCUGAUUAAUUGAAUUUUAUCUUUGAGUUAAAAAGCUCAAAUUUAAUUAAAAGACGAGAAGACCCUAUAGAAUUUUAUUUUGGUUGGGGCGAUCGAAAAAUUAGGUUAACUUUUGAUUAUAAGAUAAAAUUACCUUAGGGAUAACAGCGUAAUCUUCUUUAGAGUUCUAAUCGAUAGGAGGGGUUGCGACCUCGAUGUUGGAUUAAAAUUAAAUCUGGUGCAGAAGCU
rnacentral:rRNA from 1 species